rnacentral:rRNA from 1 species
GACGAACGCUGGCGGCGUGCUUAACACAUGCAAGUCGAACGGAAAGGCCCUGCUUUUGUGGGGUGCUCGAGUGGCGAACGGGUGAGUAACACGUGAGUAACCUGCCCUUGACUUUGGGAUAACUUCAGGAAACUGGGGCUAAUACCGGAUAGCAGCUCCUGCUGCAUGGUGGGGGUUGGAAAGUUUCGGCGGUUGGGGAUGGACUCGCGGCUUAUCAGCUUGUUGGUGGGGUAGUGGCUUACCAAGGCUUUGACGGGUAGCCGGCCUGAGAGGGUGACCGGCCACAUGGGGACUGAGAUACGGCCCAGACUCCUACGGGAGGCAGCAGUGGGGAAUAUUGCACAAUGGGCGGAAGCCUGAUGCAGCAACGCCGCGUGCGGGAUGACGGCCUUCGGGUUGUAAACCGCUUUCGCCUGUGACGAAGCGUGAGUGACGGUAAUGGGUAAAGAAGCACCGGCUAACUACGUG